UCCCUGGCAGUCCAGAGGUUAAGACCCUGCACUUCCAAUGCAGGGGAUGCAGGUUCAAUCCCUGGUCAGGGGC
rnacentral:tRNA from 1 species